AACGAACGCUGGCGGCAGGCCUAACACAUGCAAGUCGAACGCCCUAGCAAUAGGGAGUGGCGGACGGGUGAGUAACGCGUGGGAACCCUCCCAUUGGAACGGAGUAGCCCGGGGAAGCUGGGAGUAAUAUCCUAUGAGCCCGAAAGGGGACAGAUUUAUCGGCGUUGGAAGGGCCCGCUUAGGAUUAGCAAGUUGGGGAGGUAAUGGCUCACCAAGGCGACGAUCCUUAGCUGGUCUGAGAGAACGAUCAGCCACACUUGGACUGAGUCACGGCCCAGACUCCUACGGGAGGCAGCAGUGGGGAAUAUUGGACAAUGGGCGCAAGCCUGAUCCAGCCAUGCCGCGUGAGUGACGAAGGCCUUAGGGUUGUAAAUCUCUUUUGGCGGGGACGAUAAUGACGGUACCCGCAGAAUAAGCCCCGGCUAACUUCGUGCCAGCAGCCGCGGUAAGAC
rnacentral:rRNA from 1 species